CUUGAUGGUUUGUGUUUUCUCUGUUCCUCGCUGUAGGGAUCUCCUGUCUUAUUGAUAAUUAGCUGUGAAAAGGAUUUCCAGCUAUGUUCUGAAUUUAUCAGGAAAGGAUUUGAUGUACACAAUGCUGAACUCAUCCUGUCCGGAGUUUUGAAACAGCAGCUAGAUCUAGAUUUAUACAAACUCUAGGUGAUAAUCGACGAGACAAUAUGAUGGAUAAUCGUGGAAUCUCUGUGUAACGUAGAAAGUUAUCGCUAUAAUAUGUACAUUUAUACACCGAAAGGAAUGUUAUAAACGAUGUUAGAUGAUCGGUAUGAUAAAUAUGACAACAAAAACGAUUUUUUUUCCCUUGGUGGGUGACAUAGCGUGCUUUGGAAAGAACUUGUUUGAUAGAGUUCUACUGACUUUCUGUAGAUGAAAUUUCAUACAUGUAGUUUUCCCAGUCGUCGAGAUGCUUAACUUUGGAUUGUCAUGCAGUUUACCCCCUAAAUGCACGGAGGCUGGAGGUGUUUAGACGCCAUGUUCGUUAUUCAAGAGAAAUCCCCUGAGAGUAGGGAAAAAAGAACAAGACUUUGGUUUCUCGUUAGAAACGAGAUGCGUUUCUUUCAAUAAUCACCAGUUUUUUUUAUUAUUAUUAUUAAUUUUGUUUUGUUUUAUUUUGUUUUUUUGUUUGUGUGUGUUGUUUUGGUUUUGUUUUUUGUUGUUCUUAUGAUAUUGGUAACGUAUCUCACGGUUAAAUAGUAGAAUUGAACAAAGGUGCAGCUGAUCAAUUCUAGAACCUUGAAUCUGAAUCCGUAUUUCCCUAUAAAUGUCCCCUAUAAACACUAUAAAUGUCAUUUCUUAAUUUAAAUUUAGAUAUCGCCUUAGGAAAUGAUUGUUUCAUUCUAGACAUUAUUUAUAUUAGUAUACUUAUGAGGAGAAACGCAGUAGCUAGUAUUUAGUAUUUCCUCAUGUUACCUUGCAUAGUAUCAAGUUAUUUCAGCUCACCACUGUAAGCUGCAUUUUUUUAAAAUCUCGUUACAACUUUAGGCGUAUGUACCCAAUUGUUUUUAAUGUUAGCGUGAAGAACUGUAAAUAGAAAUUUUAAGUUGUUUUUACUGUAGCUACUGGAAAGUUGUUGAAGACCAACCAAGACUAGUGGUUGUUUUAAGUACCAGAACGAGAGUAAAUAGACGUGAUUAAAAGAACUUAACUACCA